AUCUCUCCAACUUUUGAGAAACUUGAAGCAUCUAUCCACUGCCGGGUGCUACAACCUAAAGGAGAUUCAAGGCCUUGGUGGAUUGGAAUCCUUGGAGAUGUUGGAUUUUACUGGAUGCGAGUGUAUAGAAAGAUUACCGGAUCUCUCCAACUUGAGAAACUUGAAGCAUCUAUCCACUGCUGGGUGCAUCGAUCUAAAGGAGAUUCGAGGCCUCGAUGGAUUGGAAUCCUUGGAGAGGUUGGAUUUUACUGGAUGCUGGUCUAUGGAAAGAUUACCAAAUCUCUCCAACUUGAGAAACUUGAAGCAUCUAUCCAUUUCCGGGUGCAUCAAUCUGAAGGAGAUUCAAGGGCUUGAUGGAUUGGAAUCCUUAGAGACGUUCGAGUUUUUUUGUUGCAGUUU